GAUGAACGCUGGCGGCGUGCCUAAUACAUGCAAGUCGAGCGAACGGACGAGAAGCUUGCUUUUCUGAUGUUAGCGGCGGACGGGUGAGUAACACGUGGAUAACCUACCUAUAAGACUGGGAUAACUUCGGGAAACCGGAGCUAAUACCGGAUAAUAUUUUGAACCGCAUGGUUCAAAAGUGAAAGACGGUCUUGCUGUCACUUAUAGAUGGAUCCGCGCUGCAUUAGCUAGUUGGUAAGGUAACGGCUUACCAAGGCAACGAUGCAUAGCCGACCUGAGAGGGUGAUCGGCCACACUGGAACUGAGACACGGUCCAGACUCCUACGGGAGGCAGCAGUAGGGAAUCUUCCGCAAUGGGCGAAAGCCUGACGGAGCAACGCCGCGUGAGUGAUGAAGGUCUUCGGAUCGUAAAACUCUGUUAUUAGGGAAGAACAUAUGUGUAAGUAACUGUGCACAUCUUGACGGUACCUAAUCAGAGAGCCACGGCUAACUACGUGCCAGCAGCCGCGGUAAUACGUAGGUGGCAAGCGUUAUCCGGAAUUAUUGGGCGUAAAGCGCGCGUAGGCGGUUUUUUAAGUCUGAUGUGAAAGCCCACGGCUCAACCGUGGAGGGUCAUUGGAAACUGGAAAACUUGAGUGCAGAAGAGGAAAGUGGAAUUCCAUGUGUAGCGGUGAAAUGCGCAGAGAUGUGGAGGAACACCAGUGGCGAAGGCGACUUUCUGGUCUGUAACUGACGCUGAUGUGCGAAAGCGUGGGGAUCAAACAGGAUUAGAUACCCUGGUAGUCCACGCCGUAAACGAUGAGUGCUAAGUGUUAGGGGGUUUCCGCCCCUUAGUGCUGCAGCUAACGCAUUAAGCACUCCGCCUGGGGAGUACGACCGCAAGGUUGAAACUCAAAGGAAUUGACGGGGGCCCGCACAAGCGGUGGAGCAUGUGGUUUAAUUCGAAGCAACGCGAAGAACCUUACCAAAUCUUGACAUCCUUUGACAACUCUAGAGAUAGAGCCUUCCCCUUCGGGGGACAAAGUGACAGGUGGUGCAUGGUUGUCGUCAGCUCGUGUCGUGAGAUGUUGGGUUAAGUCCCGCAACGAGCGCAACCCUUAAGCUUAGUUGCCAUCAUUAAGUUGGGCACUCUAAGUUGACUGCCGGUGACAAACCGGAGGAAGGUGGGGAUGACGUCAAAUCAUCAUGCCCCUUAUGAUUUGGGCUACACACGUGCUACAAUGGACAAUACAAAGGGCAGCGAAACCGCGAGGUCAAGCAAAUCCCAUAAAGUUGUUCUCAGUUCGGAUUGUAGUCUGCAACUCGACUACAUGAAGCUGGAAUCGCUAGUAAUCGUAGAUCAGCAUGCUACGGUGAAUACGUUCCCGGGUCU
rnacentral:rRNA from 1 species